AAGUUGGUGCUUGAUCUGUUGAUAUUGAUUUUGAUUUCAGGAUGUCAUAAUAUCGGAAGUUGUGUUUGAGCUUCGCUGCUGACCAUAGAUUUCUUUGUCAACCAGUCAACACUGCAAGCUCCAGGUUCUUACUGCACUUGGGAGUUCGGGGUACCUUGUCUCUUCCGAUCGUCUUGUCGGCUGCUUUCCCUACUGAGGCCCUCUUGUUGCUGCCUUCACUUGCUUUGUCGUCUACUGCUCUGUUAGCUCGCCGGUUCCCUAUCUUGCUGUGAAGGGAGGGGGAAUACUACGAUUCCACACUGUUUCCGAGGCAAAAUCCAGAGCAAUUUUGUGUCGAGGAAGUUUCAGAUUUAUACGA